AUUGAACGCUGGCGGCAUGCUUUACACAUGCAAGUCGAACGGUAACAGGCCGCAAGGUGCUGACGAGUGGCGAACGGGUGAGUAAUUCACCGGAACGUGCCCAGUCGUGGGGGAAAACGCAGCGAAAGCUGUCCUAAUACCGCAUACGAUCUAUGGAUGAAAGCGGGGGACCGUAAGGCAUCGCGCGAUUGGAGCGGCCGAUGUCAGAUUAGCUAGUUGGGGGGGUAAAGGCCCACCAAGGCGACGAUCUGUAGCUGGUCUGAGAGGACGACCAGCCACACUGGGACUGAGACACGGCCCAGACUCCUACGGGAGGCAGCAGUGGGGAAUUUUGGACAAUGGGCGCAAGCCUGAUCCAGCAAUGCCGCGUGCAGGAAGAAGGCCUUCGGGUUGUAAACUGCUUUUGUACGGAACGAAACGGCCUGGGUUAAUACCCUGGGCUAAUGACGGUACCGUAAGAAUAAGCACCGGCUAACUACGUGCCAUCCGCCGCAGUAA
rnacentral:rRNA from 1 species